rnacentral:rRNA from 1 species
GAUUAACGCUAGCGGCAGGCCUAAUACAUGCAAGUCGAACGGCAGCGGGUGUAGCAAUACAUGCCGGCGAGUGGCGCACGGGUGCGUAACGCGUAUGCAAUCUACCUAUAACUGGGGAAUAGCCUUCCGAAAGGAAGAUUAAAACCGCAUAAUAUCACGAAGCGGCAUCGUUUUGUGAUCAAAACUCCGGUGGUUAUAGAUGAGCAUGCGUGACAUUAGCUAGUUGGUGAGGUAACGGCUCACCAAGGCGACGAUGUCUAGGGGGUCUGAGAGGAUGAU